ACCUGGCUGGUUCAAUCAGUAAAGCAUGAGACUCUUGAUCUUGGGGUUGUGAGUUUGAGCCCCACACCGGGUG
rnacentral:tRNA from 1 species